rnacentral:lncRNA from 1 species
UACACACAACCCCUUCUCCUCCCUGGUGCUUGGUGUGUGUGUGUGUGUGUGUGUGUGUGUGUGUGUGUGUGUGUGUGUGAGUGUGAGUGUGUGUGUGUGAGAAAGAGAACAGCCCCGCAGGUCCCGAGGCGCUGGCUGGGGACUCUGCUGCGGAAAGUUCCCAGUCCCCAGCCGCAGGAUAGGAAGAUUCCCUAGCGGCUUUCUGCUAAUGAAUGACCCAAGAGUAACACCACCACAAUCUGCGGGAAAUGAUCUGCAGGGUUGAAAUGAGAUGUUUUGAGCUCUUCAAGCUGACUCAUCAGAAUCCAGGAGCCUAGUGAAAAUGAUGCACUACUCCCUGUGGCAGGAGGAAACAAAACAACAAUACAACAACAACAAAUACAACAACACAACCCAGAAAUACCUGAAGGACAUGAGAAGUGGGACGCUUUCCCCAGGAUACAGUUACUCCCUCCUACCUAGCUCUCUUCACUACUGA